rnacentral:rRNA from 1 species
CAAAAACAUCUUUUCUUGUUAGUUUUUGAAGUAUGGCCUGCCCGCUGACUUUGAGUUGAGGGCCGCGGUAUUUUGACCGUGCAAAGGUAGCAUAAUCAUUAGUUCUUUAAUUGUGAUCUGGUAUGAAUGGCUUGACGAGACAUGAGCUGUCUUAGGGGUAUUUGUUGUUGAAUUUAGUUUUUGAGUUAAAAUUCUUAAAUGUUUUUAUGGGACGAGAAGACCCUAUAGAGUUUGACAUAUUGCUUUGCCUGUAUUUUGUUGUUUGUUUUAAGGUUUGGUUGGGGUUGUAUGUUUUGUUGGGGUGAUGGGAGGUGUUUUCUUAACUCCUCUUUGUUCAUUAUAUAUUUAUUUAUAUUUGUUUGAUCCAUUUAUUUUGCUUAUAAAAUUAAAUUACCUA